rnacentral:rRNA from 1 species
AUGAACAUCCUGAGCUGGAACUGCUGAGGAGGUGGGAACCCUCAGACAGUUUGGGAUCUCGUGAGUCUAGUACAGGCUCACUCCCCUAGUAUCGUUUUUCUUUGUGAAACUAGGUAGUCGAAAAAUGAAAUGAAGAGAUAUCGUGCUCGUUUAGGUCUUAGUGGUUUUGAUGCUUCUGAUAGCAUAGGCUUCAGUGGUGGUCUUGCUUUGUAUUGGCACGAGUCAUUGAGUCUGGAUGUAAAAACUAUUAAUGAAAGAUACAUCGAUGCGUACGUGACUGGUAUGGCAGGUGAGCCACCCUGGAGGCUUACUUGCGUCUACGGCGAACCCCGGACGGAGGACCGUCCUCGCAUGUGGUCUUCCCUUCGGGAACUUCAUCAACAAACCAACAUGUCGUGGACGAUGAUUGGUGAUUUUAACGAAGCCAUGUGGAGUUUUGAGCACUUCUCCGAAACACCACGGUCGGCAGGUCAGAUGAUUGCUUUCAUGAUGUUCUUGAAGUUUGCGGCUUGGGCGACCUUGGUUUUGCAGGCCUUCCAUAUACAUAUGAUAAUCGCCGAGGAGGGCGGGCGAACGUCAAGGUCCGCAUCGACAGGGAUGUGGCAAACAAUUCCUGGAGGGAUAUUUUCUCUCACGCCAAGGUGGAGCACCUUGUGGCGCCCAGCUCGGACCAUCUUCCCAUUUUGCUGCAGUGUGUGA